rnacentral:tRNA from 1 species
GCGCCGAUGGUGUAAGACAUGCCAUUGCUGCCCGGAAAGCAGAAGGUGCAGGUUCGAGUCCCGCCUGGCGCA